rnacentral:rRNA from 1 species
AUUAGGAAUUUUGCGCAAUGGGGGCAACCCUGACGCAGCGACGCCGCGUGGAGGACGAAGGUCUACGGAUCGUAAACUCCUUUUAUGAGGGAAGAAUUAAUGACGGUACCUCAUGAAUAAGCACCGGCUAACUCCGUGCCAGCAGCCGCGGUAAUACGGAGGGUGCAAGCGUUACUCGGAAUCACUGGGCGUAAAGGGUGCGUAGGCUGGCUUUUAAGUCUGGCGUGAAAUCCAAUGGCUUAAGCAUUGAACUGCGAUUGAAACUGGGAGGCUAGAGUUCAGAAGGGGCAGAUGGAAUUAGUGGUGUAGGGGUAAAAUCCGUAGAUAUCACUAGGAAUAUCAAAAGCGAAGGCGAUCUGCUGGGAUGAUACUGACGCUGAGGCACGAAAGCGUGGGGAGCAAACAGGAUUAGAUACCUGGGUAGUCC